rnacentral:rRNA from 1 species
UGCAACCUCAGAUUAGGUGAGACUACCCGCUGAAUUUAAGCAUAUUAAUAAGCGGAGGAAAAGAAACUAAAAUAA